UAAGGAAUAUUGGUCAAUGGACGCAAGUCUGAACCAGCCAUGCCGCGUGCAGGAUGACGGCCCUACGGGUUGUAAACUGCUUUUGUACGGGAAAAAACCUCCGGUCGUGAAUCGGAGCUGAUGGUACCGUAAGAAUAAGCAUCGGCUAACUCCGUGCCAGCAGCCGCGGUAAUACGGAGGAUGCAAGCGUUAUCCGGAUUCAUUGGGUUUAAAGGGUGCGCAGGCGGAAUGAUAAGUCAGUGGUGAAAUCUCUCGGCUCAACUGAGAAACUGCCAUUGAUACUGUUGUUCUUGAGUACACUUGAAGUGGGCGGAAUGUGUCAUGUAGCGGUGAAAUGCUUAGAUAUGACACAGAACACCGAUCGCGAAGGCAGCUCACUAAAUUGUAACUGACGCUCAGG
rnacentral:rRNA from 1 species